GGACUACACGGGUAUCUAAUCCUGUUUGCUCCCCACGCUUUCGCGCCUCAGCGUCAGUAUUGGUCCAGAAAGCCGCCUUCGCCACUGGUGUUCCUUCCGGUAUCUACGCAUUUCACCGCUACACCGGAAAUUCCACUUUCCUCUACCAUACUCUAGUGAUGCAGUAUCAAAUGCAAUUCCUUGGUUAAGCCAAGGUCUUUCACAUCUGACUUACAUCACCGCCUACGCGCUCUUUACGCCCAGUAAUUCCGAUUAACGCUCGCACCCUCUGUAUUACCGCGGCUGCUGGCAC
rnacentral:rRNA from 2 species